UACGAAGGGUGCAAGCGUUAAUCGGAAUUACUGGGCGUAAAGCGCACGUAGGCGGUUUUUUAAGUCAGAUGUGAAAGCCCCGGGCUCAACCUGGGAAUUGCAUUCAAAACUGGCUAACUAGAGUAUGUGAGAGGGGGGUAGAAUUCCAAGUGUAGCGGUGAAAUGCGUAGAGAUUUGGAGGAAUACCAGUGGCGAAGGCGGCCCCCUGGCACAAUACUGACGCUGAGGUGCGAAAGCGUGGGGAGCAAACAGG
rnacentral:rRNA from 1 species